rnacentral:rRNA from 1 species
GAUUAACGCUGGCGGCGUGCAUAACACAUGCAAGUCGAACGAUGAAACUUUACUGACUUCUUCGGAAUGAUUUAAAGCGGAUUAUUGGCGAACGGGUGAGUAACUCGUGAGUAACCUGCCUUACACAAGGGGAUAGCCUCUGGAAACGGAGAAUAAUACCCUAUGAAACCAGACAAUCGCAUGAUAAUCUGGUCAAAAUGUUUAGUGGUGUAAGAUGGACUUACGUCUGAUUAGAUAGUUGGUGAGGUAAAAGCUCACCAAGGCAACGAUCAGUCGCCGGCUUGAGGGAGUGUACGACACCCUUGGGACUGAGACCCGGCCCAGACUCCUACGGGAGGCCGCAGUGGUGAAUUUUGAACAAUGGGUGAAAGACGAAUGCCGCGAGGUCGCGUGAUUUAGAAGGCCUUCGGGUUGUAAAGAUCUUUUGUAUAGGAAGAAAAUGACAGUACUAUACGAAUAAGACCCGGCUAAUUACGUG